rfam:Triticum aestivum genome assembly, contig: Triticum_aestivum_CS42_TGACv1_scaffold_345526_4DL
UAAAUACUCCCUCCGUUUUAAAAUUCUUGUCUUAGAUUUGUCUAAAUACGGAUAUAUCAAGAUAUAUCCGUAUCUAGACAAAUCUAAGACAAGAAUUUUGGGAUGGAGGGAGUAGUUG